UGUGUGUGUUGUCGUGUUUUUCAUGUGAAGAAGCUACCCAGCGUGUUACAGUACUAUACACUCUACCGGCACAGACACCCACAAGACAUUCCUGAAACUAAGCGGUCCACAUUCCACACCUAGCGUUACGAUUCUGGAAGCUGUGCUUUGCUCAUAUAAACACAAUGAGUCAGAAGAAAUAUCUAAAUAUUUAGUGGAACUUUUCCCUUUGCCCAGAGCAAGAGCAAGGUAGAGCAAGAUGGACCAAUACCCCAGUCGACCCGGAGUGAGAGUGCUCCAGAAUGGAGAUGUGCGAGCCAGAAAAUGAGGGAUGGGGGCAUAGUAGCAGGAAGUAGGGGUGCAGCACCCCCUGAUUAAAACAUAAAUAUGUGCACUGGGCCUUUAUUACUCCUGUUUGAGCGGAGAAAAAUACUCCUCAGCACCCCCACAACAUCUUUGGGGGUGUGGGGUGCUCCCUGGCACAGACAGGAGUGGAAUGGAACAGACAGGAGUGGAAUGGAACAGACAGGAGUGGAAUGGAACAGACAGGAGUGGAAUGGAACAGACAGGAGUGGAAUGAACAGACAGGAGUGGAAUGGAACAGACAGGAGUUGAAUGGAACAGACAGGAGUGGAAUGGAACAGACAGGAGUUGAAUGGCACAGACAGGAGUGGAAUGAACAGACAGGAGUGGAAUGAACAGACAGGAGUGGAAUGAACAGACAGGAGUGGAAUGAACAGACAGGAGUGGAAUGGAACAGACAGGAGUGGAAUGGCACAGACAGGAGUGGAAUGGAACAGACAGGAGUGGAAUGGAACAGACAGGAGUGGAAUGGAACAGACAGGAGUGGAAAAGGAGGGAGGAAAGAAACAAGCACAGAAAUGUCUGUUUAGUCCCACCCUCCCCCCGUUCUCACUCUCUCCCACUCUCUUUUUUCACUGUGCAGUACCUUGGCUGUCAGAGCAGGUGUUGGACAGGGUAUAAAGGCCAUCUGGAGUGAGGGAUCGCUGAGCAGUGAGAAUUAAGACCUCCACACUCUGACAGGGCUCAGACAAACCAUCUGGUCCCCCCCUCGCUUAAAGAACCUGUUCCCAGCUUCUUCACACACCGACCUCCAGCGCUCACGCUCUCUCACUAAAACACACAUGUUCACUCACUCCCCUCGAUUAGCAUCUUCAGUCGGGAGGUCCAUGUAUCUACAAAGAGGUUUCGUUUGAGCCUGGACAGACCUUCUACAGGGGUUGUAACAAGUGCAACUGCCACGAAAAUGGCUACUUCUGUCUCUCACCGAUGAAACCUACCACAUGGCCCAACAAGUGCCAGCGGUUUCCAACGGAGUGUGGCUACCGCGUGAUUUAUAAGGAGGUGGAGUGUCAAGUCUACAGCUGGAUCUGGUGAAGGCAGACAGACACCUAUGCCCCCCUACAGUCAACAUACACGAUCGCAAGACUCUGGCUGUGGACAACCUCUUCAAUUUAAGUAGUUAUCAUGCAGAGAACUGACCACAUCCAACCUUCAAUUUAUCAACUUGUUCAAUCAAAGGAACCAAUUCCCAAAUUGAACGACCCAACUCCAAAAGUUUAGUCCUUCGUUUCAAUAAAUGUGUGUAGGGGUCAGAUUGUGUGUGUGUGUUAAUGUUACUAAAAAGUGGGACCGAAGGACCUCAAUUGGCACGGAUUCCAAAUGGGCAUAGAUUCAAAUUCCUAUAGAUUCUCAAACACAAGAACACAAGUACCACAAAAAGUAGCAACAUACUCUGACUGUACAGUAGUGUCCUAUCAUCCAAUAUGAGUGCUCAGCUUCCUGCCCUCCUCUCCUUACUUUAGUGACCACUGAUCUUGAUCACAUCGACAGUGUCAUUAUUUUUCGGUAGACAAAAAGUACAUUAAAUUUCCAAUGGAAAGCUGUGGUUGCCCUGCAGCAUUGCAGAGGCAGUUGCAGUGCUUAAUGUAUAAAUUCGAUUUGUCGAACGUAUGUGUAACGACCCUGGGUUUAUAACCGAGGAAAUCGACUCUGCCGCUGGAGCAUGCUUUUGCGGCAGUCGAUAGCGCGCCGGACCUCGGGUCCCUGCUGUUUCAUUACAGUAUGCAUCAAAUCGUAUGCGUAGACGGCGUGACAUAAAUGGUAGCAGAAUGUGAAUGUUGAACUUUUGUUGCACACAUAUCCAGAUGAUGCGUAUAAUUUUACACAAUGAUUAACAUAGUUAAAGGUUAAAUAAAAAUGUGAUAGAGUUGUAACGCCUUGAUCACGCCGAUAGUGUCAUAGCGCAAAAUAGUAAGCGGCAUCAUCUGGAUUUGUGUGCAACAAAGGUUCAACAUGAACUUUCUGCUACCAUUUCUGUCGAGCAGUCUACGCAGUUUGAUGCAUACGUUCGAUAAAUCCAAUUCAUGCAUCACACAAAACACACUAACGGCCUCUGCAAUUCUGCAAAGCAAACAGCGUUCCAUUGGAAAUGAAUGUACUUCUGGUGUACCAAAAUGCAAUGACGGCGUGAUCGAGGCGUAAGCGGCCAACUGAGUAGUUUGAUGAGGACUCCGACCAUAUGUCAAUAUUGUAUCACCUGUUGUUUACGAAGCAUGUGACAAAUAAAAGUUUGAUUUGACCUCGUGACAAGACAAACGGCGUGCUUCUAGAUAUUAUAUUACCCGGCACUGCCCGAGUGUGGCCCUCAAAUCUCAACCAGAUACCCUUCAUUGCCAUGCAGUGUUACAAAGGUCUAUAUCGGUUCCUUCGUAGGUGUUCAGUCUUCUGUAUGUCGCAGACCGCUAUGUUUUCAAUGUGAGGAAGCGAGAGCGCCAUCGGUCAACUUCACAAACCGAGGCUGGAUUUACUCUACUAUGCACGCUCCAUACAGGCUCCGCAAACUCUUUGCGACUUCACCCGCACUGAGAUUUUCGCUGUGCAUGGCAGAGCGUGUAACUUCACACAAUUGUCAGUGAUGAAUUGCUCAGCAGAAAGCUUGACUGUGGCGUUUACUCAGCCUUACAGGGCAACUCCCUAGCCUCACCCGUCGACUGGUUUUUCAGGCUAAGGAUAUAUUUCACCGUUCACGUCACUGUGUAUACAGUAUAUGUAUAGAAUCAAUUAUUUCAAAUAAAACAGGGCAGUGUUACAUACUGUGUAACUAAAUGUCAACUAUUUCUUCAACAGGUUUUUGGGAACGGAUAGUGCAUGAAAUAUCAACAUGGUCAUUUUUCUAAAUACAUCAUCAGUAUUUUAUUAUGAAAAUGCAUUUACAUCUCUUCUGCUUUUUUUCUCUUUUGGAUGGGGGAGUCCACAUAGUCACCACUAUGUUGUGUAAAAAAUAAAACGAGUUAAACGUCACCCCCACACCCCCCAAAAAAUGCAGUGUCCAGUUUCUCUAGGAGUCGAAAGUGAAGAGGUAAAACAAAGACUUUGUCAACAGACCUAAUCAUCCCAAUCCGACCAUCUGUCAGUCCCAGAAAAUAAAUAUCAUGCGGCAAAUUUAGUGUACUAGAUUUCUCUUUACAGUUUAACACAUUUGACACAAGUACACAUGAUCAUACAUUGUCAUUUUUGUUUCAUUUUAGGGGUUAUUUCUUUAUUUAAGGUGCUGGUAAUUUUGGGUGACAUUUCUCAGGAUGUCUUCUGUCAAACAUUCAUUCAAACAGUGAGUACCUUACGUCUGUGGAUGAGGCAAUAAGAAGAAAGGUCAAGUGUCCGGUCAAGCUGGCCAGUCCCUCUUUCCGAAGCCCCAAAGACAUUUACUCUCUGAACGAUUUCCAUCUUCCUGGCACUAGGGUACUACAACUCCCAGCGUGCAUCAGCAAUGUCAUUUAACGUUGAUUGAAAGUCCCCAUGCUGUGGUCAUGGCAGAUGACUAAUUUUGCGUUGUGAUGUUCAUCUUUUUGUUUAGUAUUCCGUUGGUAAGGACCCUAAUAAAAUGGGGGUACAGCAUUCUGUGGAAAGUGAGACUUCUUGAAGCAGCAACAAAUAAGGAGAACACAGCAGCUUUUUUUUAUACCGUUCAAACCAUCCUCCUGUUUUCUUAGGUGGCAUAUGGAAUGCAAGGAAUGGUCAGAAGGAGAGAAAAAUAUAUUCUCAAUACAUUUUGAUAAAACUAAUCCGACAGGAUUCAAAAGAGACGACAAACCCAACAACGGAGUAAAAAUAAUAUAUAUAUAUAUAUAUAUUCUUCUUACUUCUCACUGUCACUGCAUUGCAGCACAAAAAGGUGUUAACGAUUACUAGGAUGCAUUUCUGGCAAAAGUUUGAUUCCAAAUUACAGAUGGCGAGUUGAAUCAACCGAUUUGUGGGAAACAUAACUGGAUUUAACUGUAAAUAACUUAAAA